rnacentral:rRNA from 1 species
ACAGAGAUGGCUACCGUUGUUCGGAAUCACUGGGCUUAAAGGGUACGUAGGCGGGGAUGCAAGUCGGUUGUGAAAGCCCAUGGCUUACCCAUGGAAAGUCAGCCGAAACUGCGUUUCUUGAGUGCGGUAGGGGAGAGUGGAACUUUUGGUGAAGCGGUGAAAUGCGUUGAUAUCAGGAGGAACGCCGGAGGCGAAAGCGGCUCUCUAGACCGUUACUGACGCUGAGGUGCGAAAGCGAGGGGAGCAAACAG